rnacentral:lncRNA from 1 species
AACAGAGCACAAUAAAAAUAAAAUAAAAGAAAACACAUAGUAAAACCAAAAUAAAUAAAAAAAAUUAAAAAGUAAAAGUUCAGAGCACUGGGUUGUCUCCCAGCAAGCGCUUCUUUAACAUCACUGGCUUGACCCAAUAGGCUCAUCAUAGCAUCCGUCAGUAGGUGCAGUUAGUAACAUCCAUCAGUAGAUGUUUAAUCACAUAGCACCCAUCAGUAGAUGAUAAUUUUUCUUGUCUUCAUUGGUAUCCCUCAGUAGACACCAAUCUUUCUCAUCUUUAUUGACAUCCAUCAGUAGAUGCCUAAUCACCUACCAUCCAUCAGUAGAUGUCUAGUCAUCAACCUCUUCCAUAACAGCAUCCAUCAGUAGAUGCUCUCUUAAACUCUUCUAGCAUCCAUCAGUAGAUGCAAAUCUUUCUCAUCAACAUGUUUCAGUAGAUGUUAAUCUUUCUCUUCUUCAUCAGCAUCUAUUAGUAGACGCUGUCAGUACUGCCAUCAAAAGUAGCGCAUAACCUAAAAAAAUUUUAAACACAUAAAGACAAAAUCAAAUCCAAACCACACAAAUAAUAAAAUAAAAAAAUUAAAAUAGAAUAAAAUAAAAUAAAAUAAAAUAAAAUAAGAUAAAUAAAAUCACAUCAAAUCAAAU